GUGUGUUUGUGUCUUUGUUUGUAUGUGUGUGUGUGUUACAAGGUUAUGAAUAUUACACAUUAAGAGUUACCUUAAGCAAACAAAUGUUAAGCUUGCUGGUAGUUCUACCAUGAGGACUCAAAAUCACCCGCGGCUGGCCGCCAAUCACCAAUAACCAGCUACCAAUCACCAGCUACCAAUCACCUGCCUACACCUGCUCUAUAAAGAGUAGUCUAACAUGUUUUUGCUGCUCAGGUCUUCGUUCGACGCACCUCCAUCCACCCCACCACCACCAGGUCGGCCUCAGUCUACUUGUCCAGGGGAAGGCUCCGCCCCUGCUAGUCCUGGCAGGAUACGCCGAGUCCGCACGUCACCCUGGAUCAGUGACGGGGCUCAUGCCAAAGAUUUACCAUGCAAAAUAUUCCCAUGUCGUUAUUUAAAUAAAUCCUGUUCAUACUUAUCGGUGAUCGAGUCUUUAUGGGAGAAAUAAGACUAUGUGGAGAAGGACAUCACUAUUACGAAGUCGGGAGCAACAUGAGCCUUCCAACCGGUCAUCGAGGC
ensembl:lncRNA